CACAAGCAACCUCAUAUCGUUCUCAUUCUCUUCAAUGGAGGAUAGGUCUCCUUCUUGAAAGAACAACAGUCGUUUUUCCCAUUCCCCUUCUCCAAGAGCGCACAGCACUCAACCCCUCACAAAUUUGAUCAUCCAUCACUUUCCUAAGAGAUGAUCAUCAUCCUUGAAUUCCAAAAAGAAAGAUGAUAGCAGCCCACUCCAUUAACAACUUCCAGUCGUCACCCUAAGAAAAGGGAACGAACAACAGCUGCAAAAAAAGAGGAACGAAGACAACGGAGUUUGGGGCUGAACAAUUUGAAUUUUCUGUUAAUAUUUUUCAAUGCAUUUCAAUGUAUAUCGCUGUAUUUCCAUCUAUUUCAUUGUAUCCG
rnacentral:lncRNA from 1 species